rnacentral:rRNA from 1 species
CAGCAGCCGCGGUAAUACAGAGGGUGCGAGCGUUAAUCGGAUUUACUGGGCGUAAAGCGUGCGUAGGCGGCUUCUUAAGUCGGAUGUGAAAUCCCUGAGCUUAACUUAGGAAUUGCAUUCGAUACUGGGAAGCUAGAGUAUGUGAGAGGAUGGUAGAAUUCCAGGUGUAGCGGUGAAAUGCGUAGAGAUCUGGAGGAAUACCGAUGGCGAAGGCAGCCAUCUGGCCUAAUACUGACGCUGAGGUACGAAAGCAUGGGGAGCAAACAGGAUUAGAUACCCCAGUAGUCCCUGUCUCUUAUAA